ACUUUGAAUAAACACUUUUUUCCAAUAAAUGUCUGUAAAAUUUGGGAGCAACAGAGCAGUGGUUAUGUUUACUGAGGCUCCAAAGAAACAGCUGGUCAUGCUGGGAACAGUACAGAAAGAUGUGGUCAUGCUUAGAGGUUAGUUUAUCUUCAGAAAAAAGGCCAUCUCCCUUCCAAAGGUUGCAGGUCGAAUCCAAACCAGGUGCUAACUUAAACCAAAUAAUCUAUGUAUUAUUCAAGAUCAAUCCCUCACCAAGAACUGACUAGUCAACAACACUCUUUCCCCAGCUACUUGGGGUCAAGUAGUGUAGUUUAUUUUAAAUGAAUUUAUUUUGCUCAAUUUGGGAUACUAAAUCUUGCAUAUUGACCUCCCAGUCCUCUAGAACUCGUCCGCUCAUUCCCAUACAUGCUGUAAUUUCACUCUGCAGUCAGCUGCGCAGGUAAUACGUCAGGGGAGACCACAACCAAUGCGGCUGGAGCAGACCAGAGCUGUUGCACAAUGUGGCAGUGACUGUCCUGUCAACUGAAGCCCUCCCUCUCUUUGACAUUAUAAGCAAUUACACACCACCCUGCAGAACUAUGUGUAUAAACAAGCUAUACUUAUGCGUGUGUGUGUAUCUUAUACACAAUACAGCUGACUCAAUACAGGAUUUUGAAUUUUGCUGAAAAAAAACACUUACAUUGUUUUCUCCCCGAUUUAAUUCGCGAUUCGGAAUGUACAUUAACAGUCGCGCUCAAGCUGCAAUCUCUGCGGCCGACGCGGGGAGAGUGUCGGCGAAGCGCGGGCUCUUUUCCAAAACGCGCAAUGUCGACAGGUGCUUCUUUUCACACUUCCGCUCACAAGCCCAGCUUGCACAGACGUGAGCCGGAGUUCAACCAAGUAAUUCAUGUAAAACAUGGCAGACUAAAUUCAAACAGCUAAAACCAAAACAGUAUAUAUAUAUCCAAUUCCAAUUUUAAAAUGUGUAAUAAAAAAUGUCAUUGCCGUUAAAAAGGGAAUUCGUCUUGUGCUUAAGGACACACGGCACAGUGAAUACACGAAAUACAUGCCAUUUACCCACGUUAGAGAAAACACAACAUCGCAUUAGAUCGUCAGAUAUUACCAACAUUAAUAACAUUAAAAAUGCACAAUAAAGCAUACUGAAAAUUGUUAUCUUAUGACACACAUUACUCAGACAAGCAAACCUCGGAACAGCAUCAAGCAGUAAACCCACCAAAAUACUCUAUUCAUACUUAAGCUGGUUCUCAGCAAUAUUUUAGAAUUUAUCAGGAACACGUAGUGGUGCAAAGACCUUUCUGGCCACUAGAGGGGAGUAAGGCAUUCUCCCAAUAACAGUAGUCAUUUUUAACAUUUUUAUUGUUGACCGCCAAAAAUACCAUGUCAUAAUGGGCUCAUGCUCAUGACUGGGAUACAAAUUCGGUGAAGGGUUGCUUUGUAAACGGCAUUGUGAUUGAUAGUCUGUGUGUGGUGAGCAGUUAGCAGUUAGCACACUGGUUUAGGCUGUAGUUAGCUGCAGGUUCUAUUCCCAAUAAUUCACCUAAAUUAUUUUCAGUGAAAAUAAAAAAUUGUUUUCAGAAAAUGUAAAGUGAAGAUAAGACCAUCUUCUAAAUGCCUAAAUGUAAAUAUAAAUUAUUCAAGUCUGAUAAAGCUUGAUAGAUGAACAGUUAGAAACAAUGUAAUAUAAUGUAAAACAGGCACCCAACACAUGAUAUUACACUGAAUUAUUGAAAUCACCUGUUUGGUAUGGUGGUUCCAAUUCUCAGAACAACAACCUGAAUUCCAAACAGCUUGUUAAACUAAUAACAAGGCUCAGUAAAGGUUGAAAUACAAUUAGCCAUCACUAGAGUUUCUCGUUAAUGACAUCAAACAUACAAUAUAAUUAAGAAAACAAUUAUACAACAAAAUGUACCAUUUGUGCACCAUUAUUAAUAUUCUAUGUAUUAUAAUAAUAGGCAUGUAUUUAUUCAACCAAUGAACUCAGUCAGAUGAUUUCACCAAUUACUUCUACCUCCUGGCUGAAGAGCUGCGAUAAUUAGCAAAUCCAGGUGAUUGGAACAAAAUUUGGAGGAGUUUUCCUUUUUGAAACUGGAUUUUCCACUUCUACUGAAAAAGAGGCUGUAACAGCUUGGAAUCCCGCAGAUUAAUUCAUUCUGAAUACUUUAGCGACUCAGUUUACAGGUAGAAACACCCUCCAGCUUGCAACACUUUUCCCCAAUUUGAAGUGCCCCGUUACAAGAUGGAGGUUCUGAAUGAAAGUACAGAGGAGCACCCAUGGACCGUAUAAAAAUAAGCAGACUGUGGGUUCCACAUCGCUCAGUAGGGGCCGCUAGAGAGCGAUGAGACGCAGACCCGAACUGAUUUCAACUCUCCAUUAACCCUGGAUGGUGCUACCGCCAAUGAUGGGCUGUCCUGCGGGGCUAUGGUACAGCCAUCCAUUCACUAGAACAGCACAUUAACAGACACCAGACCGUGGGGCCCAUCCAUGCACUGGAACUUCCACCCGCAUAUACACUGAGCUGAAGAUACUGCUAACAAUUCCGGUGGCCACCGCCUCCACAGAACACUUGUUCAGCAGUUUGCAUCAUUUACAGACAUAGGGCCUACUUACUGAGCACAAUGACUAACAAAAGAUUUAAUGGACAUCCAUCCAUCAAUCCAUUUUAUAACCGCUUGAUCCAGAUCAGGGUCGCGGUGGCAACAGGGCAAGCAGAGCAGCCCAGACGUCCCGCUCCCCAGAAACUUCCGCUAACUCAUCCCGGUGGAUCCCCAGGCGAUCCCAGGCCAGCCGGUGGAUAUAAUCCCUCCAGCGUGCUCUGGGUCUGCCCCUGGGUCUCCUCCCCGGUGGCCAUGCCAGAAACACCUCCAGAUUUAAUGGGCAUGCAUUACUGAACAGCUAGGCAGCUCUGUGUGAGUUUGAUGCAGCAGGGAGACAAGGAGUUAACGUCAAUAGACAGAUCUGGGCAACAAACCAGUCCGCCUAGAAGCCAAAUGCUACAGACAUUCUUUCGCGACCAAGACCUGCACUUUGGAGCCUACAAUCCUUGGCAGACCAGUAUUUGAUCACAGAACGGUAAGUCUGAUCCUCUUGAUGUAACGUACCAUUGAUACAGCUUGUUUGAAUUGUCUGGGUAGUUUCUAAUGAUGGGAAUCUAGUAAUUAUUAUUUACUUACUACAUUAUUUAAUUACUACAGAUUUGGCAUGAAAUUAUGACUUCAUGAAUGUGAGGAUUAUAAAGUUAGAUCGGAAAUGAUCUCUGCUGGUAUUGCU